CUUCUUGAGCUUCCUUUGGUCAGGGCAAGAACAGCAACACAAAGGCUAAGAAAAGGGGCACAUUGUAUAGGACACAGUGUUGAGUGUUAGCUUAGUAUGCGUCAUCUAGGUUGUAAAGACUUCUGUGGAAGCAAAUGAAGAUGUCCAGUAAGCAGCUGUGAACACAAGCCCAGAACUAGCUGCAAUGCUGGGCUACGGUUUUGCAAUAACGGUAUGAAUGAGGGAUGCAAUAGAAAGCCUCCAGCAACCACCGUUCUUUCUUCUUCUACCAUAUCCACACUUCCAGUUUCUACAAGCGAAUGAGAGCAGGAGGUGUUUGUCUUCAGUGACUGGUUUAUUCCACUUCAAGUGAUGCCCCCAGUUCCCUCUGUUAUCCUAUAAAUAGCAGGCAUUUUGCUCUCUUUAUGUCUGAAUAACAUCCCAUUGUGUGCAAGUGC
rnacentral:lncRNA from 1 species